rnacentral:rRNA from 1 species
GACGAACGCUGGCGGCGUGCUUAACACAUGCAAGUCGAACGGGAUUUAGUAAACAGAAGCCUCGGUGGAAGAUUACUAAUGAGAGUGGCGAACGGGUGAGUAACGCGUGAGCAACCUGCCUAUGACAGUGGGAUAGCCUCGGGAAACCGGGAUUAAUACCGCAUAAAAUCGUAGAAACACAUGUUUUAACGGUCAAAGAUUUAUCGGUCAUAGAUGGGCUCGCGUCUGAUUAGCUAGUUGGUGAGAUAACAGCCCACCAAGGCGACGAUCAGUAGCCGGUCUGAGAGGAUGAACGGCCACAUUGGAACUGAGACACGGUCCAAACUCCUACGGGAGGCAGCAGUGGGGAAUAUUGCACAAUGGGGGAAACCCUGAUGCAGCGACGCCGCGUGAACGAAGAAGGUAUUCGUAUCGUAAAGUUCUGUCCUAUGGGAAGAUAAUGACAGUACCAGAGAAGAAAGCUCCGGCUAAAUACGUG